rnacentral:lncRNA from 1 species
GUCCCAACCGCGAUCCUAAGUUUUCGACAAUGUACUUCACCCCCCUGGUUUCAGCACAGAUAUUUUAUGAUUUCGCUUGUUUUUGAGGUAAAAAUCGCACUGAAAAUCUUGAUAUUUUUCUCCUAUAACUUGGUUGAUUUACAAUGUCGAGGAUCCUGCCUUUUUGCGCCGCUCGUAGAUGUAUGAGAUGUACAAGAAGAAUCUUUUUAUUCACCGGUAAGAUUUUUAUAUAUUGUAGAAAAUUUGAAGCAGAAGUACAAACUACAAAGUUUAUAAUACUACGAACAUAAAAGUAUAUGAACAGCAAAUUAUUAGCAGACAUAACAACCUGUAAAUGGUUGGCAAUUCUGUACAUUUUAUUGUUCUUUUGAUUUGGUACUACUACUGCUAUAGCGAUAUUUGCGUAGGGUUUCAUGGCUGGUUAAUAUGAUUUCAAAGUCCUUGCUGUAGUGUCUGCACACUUGUAUUUAUUUAGUAUUUUAGUAUAUUAAAUUUUCCUUGACAAACUUUGAGUGAUAUCCUUGCCAGGUUCUUGCCAGCAGUUGUUUAUAAUUACUGUGUAGUUAUAUGAAAUCUCACUUACAUGACAUGUAGACAAGUGAACAAAUACUUUGCUAGCUAGGCGGCUAGGCCAAAGACAUCAGGUUCAAACCAUUCAAUACCCAUUGCAAUCAAGCAAUUACCAUAAACAUAUAAGCCCCCUCCCCCCAAUAUAAGCCCCCCUGUGUAUAAUCCCAUCAUAUUUACUCAGGCUAUUCCGAAUAUAAGCCCCUCCCCCUCUAAUGUAAGCCAGGCCUGUGUGUACAAGCCCAUGGGCUUAUAUUAUUUGACAGGGGCCGGUUGUAUCAAGCCCGUUUAGCUUAAUUUCUCAUGAAUCAGUCAACUUAAAUAUUCUGCACUGAAUAUGUAGUUGUAAACAUCAUUCUAUUAAGGUUCAAAACUUCUAGUUUGGUUGUUGAAUGAAUCUAUAGAGUCUGAGUUGCUUUCUAUUUUGAGCUUAACCAACGUUUAAGCUAAACAGGCUUGAUACAAUUGGCUCCAGGUAUAUUUAUUAAUGCAGCUUUAGCCAUACAUAUUAGAAUACAAGCCCAGGGCUAGCUGGCUUACAUUCAGAGGCCGGUUUACAAUAUCUCGCCCAACAUAUAGUUUGUCAGAGUUCUAUAAAUCCCACAGUCAUUAGAGGUAAUAUAGGAAUGAAAGGUGCACAAUAUGUGUGCCAGUCACCUUGGCAUUGACCGGCCAACCUUAUGCUCUGACAAUUAACCUAAAUUGAUUGAUGAUAUGUUUGAGAGCAGUUUCAGGUUUCAGUGGUGGUGUCCCCAGUAUUGGAGUAGAGCUCAAAUUUCAGUUAGAUAUAUUAUUUGUGAUUGUUGUGAACCUUCUCACUUAGAUCAUUUGUGAUAUAUUGUAAUUAAAUGUAAAAUGAAACUUUGGGGAGUUAAGAAAUACAAUUAAUUGACAAGACUGUCCCCUUGACAAGUAAAAUUGUCAGGCAUUAGACUGCCUGAGUAAAAUAAUAAGCUUGGGUGCAAUUAACUGCUGUAUGCUUUAAAGUUGGUUGCAUGCUUUAAAGUUGGUUGCAAGCUAGCUGGGCUUAUAAAUGCCAGAACUCAUGUGAAAAAUGCUUGGAUCAAUUUAUUUCAUCCGUAAUGAACCCAUUUUUAAUCCUUUAAGUGGCAAUGCGCCCCACUACAAUAUUUUACUCCGUCCAAUGCCAGACAAUUUUACUCGUCAAGUUGAGAGUGCUGCCCCUCAAUGGGUUCAGUUGCAUUGCACCCUACUGUAUAUGUUCGUGUUACUUUGUCUAACGCCAACAAUUUUACUUGUCAACAAGAGAGCACAGUGGUACGUGCUGAAUGGGUUAACAUAUAAAUAAUGUCUACUCUACAGUAAAUUUCCCUGUAAUUGGACUUUGGAGCCUGGUAUAUGUGACUCACUAUUUCUUCAAAGUGUGUUCUAAUGAUACUAGCUGUCACUAUUUUAUAAAUAUAAUUGACAUUUCUCAUUUAGGGUGAUCCAGGAUGUAGGUCAUGUGGACAAGUUCUUUGGAAUGUUCAAAUAACAAGAAUAGUGGUGUUAUAGUAGUGGUGGCACUUGCCAGACCUACCGUAACUGGAAAAACUAACAAUGACUUUUCUCCAAAGUCUUAUAUCAGGCUUUUUUUCAGGGAUUUUUUAGGGCCGUUAAACGGCCCCAAAAACUCAAUCUUGAAUUGAGUUUUGAAACUCAAUCUUCUCACCAAAGUUUCAGUGCAGUAAAAAUGAAGUUGUUUGAGUUAAAUUUGUGACGUGUGGAAAUUAGUUUUCAGUUGGAAACCCGACAAUUAAGAAAAAAUGGCUGGAAUUCAUCUCACAACACAAGAAAAACUAUGCA